CGACCGGCGCACGGGUGAGUAACGCGUAUCCAACCUUCCCAUUACUGUGGGAUAACCUGCCGAAAGGCAGACUAAUACCGCAUAGUCUUCGAUGACGGCAUCAGAUUUGAAGUAAAGAUUUAUCGGUAAUGGAUGGGGAUGCGUCUGAUUAGCUUGUUGGCGGGGUAACGGCCCACCAAGGCGACGAUCAGUAGGGGUUCUGAGAGGAAGGUCCCCCACAUUGGAACUGAGACACGGUCCAAACUCCUACGGGAGGCAGCAGCA
rnacentral:rRNA from 1 species